GGAGGAGAUGGCGCACAUACUUUCACCUCAUAAUGAUGGCGCGGUGCGGUGCGAUGUGAUAUCAAAAAAUUCGCUCUCAUUCGCCAUCAUUCUUAGGUGUAGUUAGCUCAGCCAUGCAAUUCAC
rnacentral:precursor_RNA from 15 species